rnacentral:rRNA from 1 species
GGACGAACGCUGGCGGCGUGCCUAAUACAUGCAAGUAGAACGCACAGUUUAUACCGUAGCUUGCUACACCAUAGACUGUGAGUUGCGAACGGGUGAGUAGCGCGUAGGUAACCUGCCUGGUAGCGGGGGAUAACUAUUGGAAACGAUAGCUAAUACCGCAUAAUAUUGAUUAUUGCAUGAUAAUUGAUUGAAAGAUGCUAUUGCAUCACUACCAGAUGGACCUGCGUUGUAUUAGCUAGUAGGUGAGGUAACGGCUCACCUAGGCGACGAUACAUAGCCGACCUGAGAGGGUGAUCGGCCACACUGGGACUGAGACACGGCCCAGACUCCUACGGGAGGCAGCAGUAGGGAAUCUUCGGCAAUGGACGAAAGUCUGACCGAGCAACGCCGCGUGAGUGAAGAAGGUUUUCGGAUCGUAAAGCUCUGUUGUAAGAGAAGAACGGGUGUGAGAGUGGAAAGUUCACACUGUGACGGUAUCUUACCAGAAAGGGACGGCUAACUACGUG